rnacentral:rRNA from 1 species
UGGGGAAUAUUGCGCAAUGGGCGAAAGCCUGACGCAGCAACGCCGCGUGAGUGAUGAAGGCCUUCGGGUUGUAAAGCUCUGUCGGGCGGAACGAAGAGCCACUGUGCGAACAGUGCAGUGGAUUGACGGUACCGCCAGAGGAAGCACCGGCUAACUCCGUGCCAGCAGCCGCGGUAAUACGGAGGGUGCAAGCGUUGCUCGGAAUUAUUGGGCGUAAAGCGCACGCAGGCGGCGAGGUAAGUCAGAUGUGAAACUCCCGGGCUUAACUUGGGAACGGCAUCUGAAACUGCCUUGCUUGAGUACGGAAGAGGGGAGUGGAAUUCCCAGUGUAGAGGUGAAAUUCGUAGAUAUUGGGAGGAACACCGGUGGCGAAGGCGGCUCCCUGGUCCGAUACUGACGCUCAUGUGCGAAAGCGUGGGGAGCAAACAGG